CUACUUGAUUCUCCGAUU
rnacentral:snRNA from 1 species